AUAAUGGGUCAGCGACUUAUAUUCUGUAGCAAGGUUAACCGAAUAGGGGAGCCGAAGGGAAACCGAGUCUUAACUGGGCGUUAAGUUGCAGGGUAUAGACCCGAAACCCGGUGAUCUAGCCAUGGGCAGGUUGAAGGUUGGGUAACACUAACUGGAGGACCGAACCGACUAAUGUUGAAAAAUUAGCGGAUGACUUGUGGCUGGGGGUGAAAGGCCAAUCAAACCGGGAGAUAGCUGGUUCUCCCCGAAAGCUAUUUAGGUAGCGCCUCGUGAAUUCAUCUCCGGGGGUAGAGCACUGUUUCGGCAAGGGGGUCAUCCCGACUUACCAACCCGAUGCAAACUGCGAAUACCGGAGAAUGUUAUCACGGGAGACACACGGCGGGUGCUAACGUCCGUCGUGAAGAGGGAAACAACCCAGACCGCCAGCUAAGGUCCCAAAGUCAUGGUUAAGUGGGAAACGAUGUGGGAAGGCCCAGACAGCCAGGAUGUUGGCUUAGAAGCAGCCAUCAUUUAAAGAAAGCGUAAUAGCUCACUGGUCGAGUCGGCCUGCGCGGAAGAUGUAACGGGGCUAAACCAUGCACCGAAGCUGCGGCAGCGACGCUGAUGCGUUGUUGGGUAGGGGAGCGUUCUGUAAGCCUGCGAAGGUGUGCUGUGAGGCAUGCUGGAGGUAUCAGAAGUGCGAAUGCUGACAUAAGUAACGAUAAAGCGGGUGAAAAGCCCGCUCGCCGGAAGACCAAGGGUUCCUGUCCAACGUUAAUCGGGGCAGGGUGAGUCGACCCCUAAGGCGAGGCCGAAAGGCGUAGUCGAUGGGAAACAGGUUAAUAUUCCUGUACUUGGUGUUACUGCGAAGGGGGGACGGAGAAGGCUAUGUUGGCCGGGCGACGGUUGUCCCGGUUUAAGCAUGUAGGCUGGUUUUCCAGGCAAAUCCGGAAAAUCAAGGCUGAGGCGUGAUGACG
rnacentral:rRNA from 1 species